CCGAUUACUUUUGGUUUGCUCAAGCAUUUCCUCCAAAACUCCUCCUUCCUUUUCAAACUUCCUGGCUGCAGUUUCCAUUUCUGAAGUGUCCUCCCGCAAAACCAGUGUAUAAUUUCUCCCACAUGAAAAGUUAAUAGAAUCAAAAUCUGGGCGGGCAAUCAAGGUAACAUUGGAAUUAAAACAGAACAAUGAAUAUUAAUAUCAUUUAAUCAACUCAAUUUGUUUGUUUUUCGUUUUUUUUUCUCCCUUUUUUUUUUUAAUUUUCUAGUGGCAGGCUGUAGUCAGCAGUUUCAUAAUGAUGACUAAUAGAUAGAUACAAACAUUUCCAAGUGAUACUUCUCAAUAAAUUAAUGAAAUAAUCCUUUCAAAAAGAGACGUUGCAAGAUAUUGCAGACAAUAAAUGAAAGAAAGAUUUACUUUGCCUUGCUAAUCUAUUCUGUCAGUUUUGGGCCGCAUUCCCUCUAUACUCCAAGAAUCAAGAUAGUCCACGACCCAAUAUAAACAUACAUCAUUCAGAAGACUUGGAAAAUAAUAAGUCAAACAUAUAUACAUGUACUAUGUUUUAUUUAUUUUUAGGUAGGAACUCAAACAUAUUUAUCAAUAGAAACAUGAGGACGAGGAAGUAUACCAUGGUGAAGGCACGCAGGAUGCUCAUAACAGCUGCAGUUGACAUACCCAAUGUAGCAGUCGCGUUUGCAUAAACUGCAGAGGAUCGUGCCAAGGGACCUUGUGGAAAUACGCCUACACACUCUAGAUUUAACGAGUAACCAUCG
rnacentral:lncRNA from 1 species